rnacentral:rRNA from 1 species
GACGUAGGGCGCGAGCGUUGUCCGGAUUUAUUGGGCGUAAAGAGCUCGUAGGCGGCUUGUCGCGUCGAAUGUGAAAUCAUCAGGGCUCAACUCUGACAUUGCAUUCGAUACGGGCAGGCUAGAGUUCGGUAGGGGAGACUGGAAUUCCUGGUGUAGCGGUGAAAUGCGCAGAUAUCAGGAGGAACACCGGUGGCGAAGGCGGCUAUCUGGACAGAGUCUGACGCUGAGGCGCGAAAGCUAGGGGAGCAAACAGG